CCCUUAGAUGUUCUGGGCCGCACGCGCGCUACACUGAUGCAUUCAACGAGUUUCUUCCUGGUCCGAGAGGAAUGGGUAACCUUUUGAAAGUGCAUCGUGAUAGGGAUAGACUAUUGCAAUUAUUGGUCUUCAACGAGGAAUUCCUAGUAGACGUAGUUCAUCAGACUGCAUCGAUUACGUCCCUGCCCUUUGUACACACCGCCCGUCGCUCCUACCGAUUGAAUGUCUCGGUGAAUUAUUUGAUCUUCUGUCGAUUCAGUUCACUGAUCCGACGGUGGAAAGUUGAAUGAACUUCGUCACUUAGAGGAAGGAGAAGUCGUAACA
rnacentral:rRNA from 1 species